CCUACGGGAGGCAGCAGUGGGGAAUAUUGCACAAUGGGCGCAAGCCUGAUGCAGCCAUGCCGCGUGUGUGAAGAAGGCCUCCGGGUUGUAAAGCACUUUCAGCGGGGAGGAAGGCGGUGAGGUUAAUAACCUCAUCGAUUGACGUUACCCGCAGAAGAAGCACCGGCUAACUCCGUGCCAGCAGCCGCGGUAAUACGGAGGGUGCAAGCGUUAAUCGGAAUUACUGGGCGUAAAGCGCACGCAGGCGGUCUGCCAAGUCGGAUGUGAAAUCCCCGGGCUCAACCUGGGAACUGCAUUCGAAACUGGCUGGCUAGAGUCUUGUAGAGGGGGGUAGAAUUCCAGGUGUAGCGGUGAAAUGCGUAGAGAUCUGGAGGAAUACCGGUGGCGAAGGCGGCCCCCUGGACAAAGACUGACGCUCAGGUGCGAAAGCGUGGGGAGCAAACAGGAUUAGAUACCCGUGUAGUC
rnacentral:rRNA from 1 species